CCUAGUAACUGCGAGUGAAGCGGGAAGAGCUCAAAUUUAAAAUCUGGCGUCUUCGGCGUCCGAGUUGUAAUUUAGAGAAGCGUUUUCCGUGUCGGACCGUGUACAAGUCUCCUGGAACGGAGCGUCAUAGAGGGUGAGAAUCCCGUCUUUGACACGGACCCCCGAUGCUUUGUGAUACGCUCUCGAAGAGUCGAGUUGUUUGGGAAUGCAGCUCAAAAAUGGGUGGUGAACUCCAUCUAAAGCUAAAUAUUGGCGAGAGACCGAUAGCGAACAAGUACCGUGAGGGAAAGAUGAAAAGCACUUUGGAAAGAGAGUGAAACAGUACGUGAAAUUGUUGAAAGGGAAACGCUUGAAGUCAGUCGCGUCCGUCGGGAUUCAGCCCUCGUGGUGUACUUCCUGAUGGACGGGCCAGCAUCACUUUCGAUCAUCGGAAAAGGGCUAGAGGAAUGUGGCACCUCCGGGUGUGUUAUAGCCUCUGGUCGUAUACGGUGACCGGGAGUGAGGAACGCCUUUGUAGGAUGCUGGCGUAAUGGCUUUAAACGACCCGUCUUGAAACACGGACCAAGGAGUCUAACAUGCCCGCGAGUGUUCGGGUGGAAAACCCGUGCGCGUAAUGAAAGUGAAAGUUGGGAAGGCUGUCGUGGCCUGCACCGACGCCCGGACUUGAGAUUUAUCGAAGGUUCUGCGGUAGAGCGUGUAUGUUGGGACCCGAAAGAUGGUGAACUAUGCCUGAAUAGGGUGAAGCCAGAGGAAACUCUGGUGGAGGCUCGUAGCGAUUCUGACGUGCAAAUCGAUCGUCAAAUUUGGGUAUAGGGGCGAAAAACUAAUCAAACC
rnacentral:rRNA from 1 species